rnacentral:rRNA from 1 species
CCUACGGGAGGCAGCAGUGAGGAAUAUUGGUCAAUGGGCGGAAGCCUGAACCAGCCAAGUAGCGUGCAGGAUGACGGCCCUACGGGUUGUAAACUGCUUUUAUACGGGAAUAACGCGCCUUACGUGUAGGGCUUUGCAUGUACCGUAUGAAUAAGGACCGGCUAAUUCCGUGCCAGCCGCCGCGGUAAUACGGAAGGUCCGGGCGUUAUCCGGAUUUAUUGGGUUUAAAGGAAGCGUAGGCCGCAUGUCAAGCGUGCUGUCAAAGCCCGGGGUUCAACCCCGGCCCGCCGUUGAAACUGGCAGUCUCGAGUUGGAGAGAAGUAUGCGGAAUGCGCGGUGUAGCGGUGAAAUGCAUAGAUAUCGCGCAGAAUUCCGAUUGCGAAGGCAGCAUGCCGGCUCCACACUGACGCUGAGGCACGAAAGCGUGGGUAUCGAACAGGAUUAGAUACCCUGGUAGUC